rfam:Lactobacillus plantarum WCFS1 complete genome
CGGGCGUUAUGAUGGUGGCUACUGGCAAAAUAGUAGCUAAGUCUAGUUCGGAAGUUAUUUAUGGUUAGACAUAGAUGGC